CUACGGGAGGCAGCAGUGGGGAAUAUUGCACAAUGGGCGAAAGCCUGAUGCAGCAACGCCGCGUGAACGAUGAAGGUCUUCGGAUCGUAAAGUUCUGUUGCAGGGGAAGAUAAUGACGGUACCCUGUGAGGAAGCCCCGGCUAACUACGUGCCAGCAGCCGCGGUAAUACGUAGGGGGCUAGCGUUAUCCGGAUUUACUGGGCGUAAAGGGUGCGUAGGUGGUCCUUCAAGUCGGUGGUUAAAGGCUACGGCUCAACCGUAGUAAGCCGCCGAAACUGGAGGACUUGAGUGCAGGAGAGGAAAGUGGAAUUCCCAGUGUAGCGGUGAAAUGCGUAGAUAUUGGGAGGAACACCAGUAGCGAAGGCGGCUUUCUGGACUGCAACUGACACUGAGGCACGAAAGCGUGGGUAGCAAACAGGAUUAGAUACCCUGGUAGUCCACGCUGUAAACGAUGAGUACUAGGUGUCGGGGGUUACCCCCCUCGGUGCCGCAGCUAACGCAUUAAGUACUCCGCCUGGGGAGUACGCACGCAAGUGUGAAACUCAAAGGAAUUGACGGGGACCCGCACAAGUAGCGGAGCAUGUGGUUUAAUUCGAAGCAACGCGAAGAACCUUACCUAAGCUUGACAUCCCUCGGACAGGUGUUUAAUCACACCCUUCCUUCGGGACUGAGGUGACAGGUGGUGCAUGGUUGUCGUCAGCUCGUGUCGUGAGAUGUUGGGUUAAGUCCCGCAACGAGCGCAACCCUUGUCUUUAGUUGCCAGCAUUCAGUUGGGCACUCUAGAGAGACUGCCAGGGAUAACCUGGAGGAAGGUGGGGAUGACGUCAAAUCAUCAUGCCCCUUAUGCUUAGGGCUACACACGUGCUACAAUGGGUGGUACAGAGGGUUGCCAAACCGUGAGGUGGAGCCAAUCCCUUAAAGCCAUUCUCAGUUCGGAUUGUAGGCUGAAACUCGCCUACAUGAAGCUGGAGUUACUAGUAAUCGCAGAUCAGAAUGCUGCGGUGAAUGCGUUCCCGGGUCUUGUACACACCGCCCGUCACACCACGGGAGUCGGAAACACCCGAAGCCGAUUAUCCAACCGCAAGGAGGAAGUCGUCGAAGGUGGCGUCGAUAACUGGGGUGAAGUCGUAACAAGGUAGCCGUAUCGGAAGGUGCGGCUG
rnacentral:rRNA from 1 species